GUCCGCAGGCACAGACUUGGAGGCCAGCAACCUGGAGAGCGCAACGGACAGACAGGCCAACGCAGAUGCAGACUCCAAAGAGGCGCUGGACGACGACUUGCCGGACAUGAGCCGGCCGGGCUCGGCGUGGGUGGGGCUGAUCGGCAGCUGCUUCGAGCCGUACCUGUCGCUCUACAUACAGUCGCUGGACUCCAACCUGCGCUCCUUCAUGGACAGGUUCCUGCAGGAGGCGCGCGCGCCGGAGGGCGGCGAGGUCGCGCCGGGCGGGGCGGGG
rnacentral:lncRNA from 1 species